CAUUCAUCAUAUUUAUGACAAAAAGGUACAUUGUCUUAAUUAAAUUACCUAGUAAUUAACACCUUUGAAGUCUUAUCCACUAUAAUUGAUUGUAAUGACAUGAUUAACCUCGUUACCUGGGGGCAAUCAGCAGGUGUCAGAUAUGUAAUUGAACUUCUGAUAAGAAAUCGAUGAAACAAAAGGCAAUUUUACCAAAACGGCACAAGGGUUUUUCGAAAAACGGCGUCAGGG
rnacentral:lncRNA from 1 species